CCGAAGAAAAUACGCCAUAUUGUGCUGAACAGGAGGGCGAAAGAAGUCAAAUCGUUCUUUCUUAAACAGAGAUAUUGUUUUUGUUUUAACACACAGAUGUGUCAGAUAUUAGAGAAACUGGCUGCUUUACACAGCAGAGAGAGUGCACUCUGGUGACCAGGAACUGUACAGCAAUCAUUUCAUAAAUUUGCUGUACUUUGCAAAAGCCUCAAUCCGGCCUUGAACGUUUCAAUAUGUUGUUAUGUUACAACCACAAAAGUUUGAUGCAUUUAUUUUGGUUUUAUGUGACUGAUUAACUCAAAUUAGUGCAUACUAGAAGUGGAAGGAAAGUGAUUCAUAGUUUUCAAUUCUCUGCUAAUUAAAAUCUAAAAAAGUGUGCAUUUAUAUUACUCACCAGAGUUAAUGCUUUUACAGCUACAAGCUUUUUAGGGUAUGUCUCUACCAGUUUUGCAUAUCUAGAGACUCAGGUUUUUGUCUUUUUUUUCUUUACAGAAUAAUUCAAGCUCAGCAAGACUGAAUGGAGAGGCUGUGAACAUCAAUUUGCAAAUUUUGCCAAACAGUCUAAGUUGGAUUUGGACUUUGACUGGGCUAUUCUAACACAUAUAAAGGCCAUAUCUUUUGGGCGUUGUUCUGUAAACAGAUUUUCUCAGGUGUCACUUACUCCAAGGUUAUCAUCCCAGCUUCUCUGAUUAAUGCUGUCCUUGGCCAGCCUGUCGGUUUAGGUGGACGUUCAUGUCUUGGUAGGUUUGCAGUUGUGCCAUCCUCUUUCUAUUUUCAGAGGAUGAAUUGAACAGUGCAGGGUUCAGUUGCAAUGUACUGUAUUUUUUCCUCAUCCCACGCACCCAGACAGUCUUGAUAACUGUUACAAAGACUGAUUAGUUAAAGUGGUGUUAACUUUUUUAUAGGUUUUUAUAGGUUUUCUGAAGGUCUCCAAAGAUUUUCUAUUUAAUUUCACCACUUGUUCAUAGAUGUUCAGUGUAGUGCUUGCAGAUUUAAAGCAAUGACAUUUGUUAAACAGCUGCUGACCAACAAAUCAUUCACUUAAUAAUAAUAAUAAACUGAAGGGACGGACCAGUGUUGCGACAUCAGAUAAUCCACAACUUAACAAAGAUCUUUCUUUUAAAAUACGCAGAAUCUACUUUAUUUGCUUGACAGCUUCAAAAGUUGUUGGAAGGACAUGAUCUCUUUAAUUAUCUCAAGCUGAGCAAUAUCAACAUUUACAGCAUAGAAUAGUUAAAUACAGCACCCUCUACACUGGAACAACCGUUAAUGUGUGAAAAAUAAAUUUUUGUUUUUGCAGUAGCAAAAUUGCUCUGGAAAUGUAAAAAUAAAUUCAAUUUUAAGUUGCAGGAAAGAUCCUAUGUAAAAUAAUACAUUUAUUUAACAAAAUCAAAGAUGCCAUACUUGUAGCCACCCCAGCAAUUCCUACACGAAGCUUUACUUUACCCUUUUUUAAGUUGAUAAAACUAUCUUUAGGAAUCCAUGAUUUUUAGCUAAGUUUUAAAUAUGACAAGACAUAGAGGGCAAUGCCAUAGGACUACUCUCCGAAUGGGAAAGACACGAGAACAUGUCAUUCCAUUUAAGUGGUUGUGUGUGGAUUUUCAUAAGUCAGUCAUGGUCAAAUGAAACUAAGGUUGAGCACUUGGCAACAAACGUGUGUGGCCAAAAACAAAGGUUGAAUGUGUGGAAAAGCAUUACAGGUCCACUGUUAAGUACGGUGGAGGGCUGUGAUGCUGUGGUCUGAGUGCUCUACUAAUGGUAAAACAGAGUCUUACAAAGCAUUGACAGCAGGGGUGACAAUAAUAGUGGAAUCAGUGGUUAUGUAAAAAAAUUAUAAUUUUUGAAAGAGGGAUUUUUCCCCAAUGAACAAAUUUAAACUCAAAUUAAAAUUAGGAUUUUUCUACAUUUUCAGGGGGAGUUUAAGCUACUGCAAUUAAAAACAAAAUUUUAUUUUAAGGCUUUUUUAACAGCUUUACCAGAGGUGCCAGUCUGGAGCUUUAGAUCACUAGAAAACUUUCAAAUAUUUACAGAAUUUAGCAUUCUGGUGACAAGGAUACACAUCCAUCCCAUGGACAGAAUAUUUACACUUCUUUACCCCGAAAAAGACUGCCUGAGGUCGACGAGCUGCUCUCUUCCUGUCGGUCACGUUGCUGACGGCUCGCUGAUCUCCAGCAUGUUGGUGCUGAUGUGGAAGCAGAUAUAGGAGGAGUACUCCUGCUGGCAGAGCCCUGGGAUGUCACAACUCACCUGUUUGGGAGAUAAGACAGAAAACCAUCACAGACUCAUUGAUUCAACCGUGAAAUUGAUCUUUUCACCGCCGGAGUGUUUGUAUGACAUGCAAAUUUAAAUUUACGGGUUAAAUUAUGCCUUAAUGUGGAUGCGAUGAAAGUCCUUUACACCAAGUGAAUGGUGGAUAAAGAAGGCAACAUCAAACAGUUCCUACUGCUUCUUCACCUGAAUUUAAUUUCCGUUAGGAAUUUCUAUCUGGAGUUUAUCAACUCAAGAUUCUGCCAAAACCAUAAGCCUUAUUCCGUUGCUAGUUUGUAAUCUGGUUCUUGUUACCCUUUGCUUGAAUCAUGUGCCUCAACUCCACGUUCACCUGCAUGCUGAUUAGCUUGAAUCAUGUGGCUAUCAUGUCACUUCUUCCAGCCAGUGGUUUGUCAUAUUCUUGACUGCUUCUCACUGACAUAAAUACAACCCUUAGGACUAAAUAUUCCAGUUGUAAAUCUAGGUCAGAAUUGCCCAAAUCCAGUCCUCACAAUCUACUAUCCUGCAACUUUUAGAUGCAUCCCUUCUCACACCCCUUAAUGAAAUGGUUAAAAUUUUUAUUUUAUCAACAUGUUUCUGACUUGAAACUAAGAUAAAAUGUGUGAAGGGACCUAAAGAUUAGGGUCAUGCCAAUGAGACUUGGAACUCAUCACUAAAAAUAACUCAUUAAAUACCAGUGGAGACAUGACAAAAAGCUGGUCAGCCAUUAAGCCAUUAAGCCAUGAAAGUAAUUAAUGAUCGACCGCAUAGCUUUAGUUCUGACAACUUUACCUAUUCAAAUAACCGUUAAUUUUAUUUUAUAUUUUAACUUGUUUGAUAUUGUAGCUUUUUAAUUUUUAUUUAAAAUCAUAUUUUACUGUAUUCAAUUUUUUUUAUCUUACUUGUAUUUCAUUUCAGUUUAAUUUUGUCUCCUAUUUUGUUUUGAAUUUUAUUUUAUUUUUUCUAUUUAACUUGAUAAAGCGCUAUACAAGUUCAGGCCAUUUACCAUUAUCAGUUAAUUUAUUCAGAAAACGUAGCAUAUAGACUGAAAGUUCAAAUUGUUUAAAUUUAAUUAAAGUUUUUAACUUUGCUUUGGUCUUAUUGUAAUUUAUCUGUUUUUUGAUACAGUUAGGAUUUACAAACUGAGCAUUUGCUUAGUUUUUGGUACCAUCAAUCAUCAUUAGAAUCAUCAGUCGGUUAUUUUACCUACUGUUUGUGCAUAUUUUUGCUUAGCACAUGUGGAUUUGUGUGGUAACUGUAUAAUAAUGUAUAAAGGAAGUUGAACUGAUUCAAUGACAAAGAGCAGAAAUUAAAAUACUCUUUAAGAAAA